UACAGAGGUCUCAAGCGUUGUUCGGAUUCAUUGGGCGUAAAGGGUGCGUAGGCGGCUUGUCGCGUCGGAUGUGAAAGCCCGGGGCUUAACUCCGGGUCUGCAUUCGAUACGGGCAGGCUAGAGUUCGGUAGGGGCAGAGGGAAUUUCCGGUGGAGCGGUGAAAUGCGUAGAGAUCGGAAAGAACACCAACGGCGAAAGCACUCUGCUGGGCCGACACUGACACUGAGAGACGAAAGCUAGGGGAGCGAAUGGG
rnacentral:rRNA from 1 species